rnacentral:rRNA from 1 species
AUUGAACGCUGGCGGCAGGCCUAACACAUGCAAGUCGAACGGAUGAAGGGAGCUUGCUCCUGGUUUCAGCGGCGGACGGGUGAGUAAUGCCUAGGAAUCUGCCUGGUUGUGUGUUAUAACGUCCGGAAACAGGCGCUAAUACCGCAUACGUCCUGAGGGAGAAAGUGUGGGAUCUUCGGACCUCACGCUAUCAGAUGAGCCUAGGUCGGAUUAGCUAGUUGGUGGGGUAAAGGCCUACCAAGCCGACGAUCCGUAACUGGUCUGAGAGGAUGAUCAGUCACACUGGAACUGAGACACGGUCCAGACUCCUACGGGAGGCAGCAGUGGGGAAUAUUGGACAAUGGGCGAAAGCCUGAUCCAGCCAUGCCGCGUGUGUGAAGAAGGUCUUCGGAUUGUAAAGCACUUUAAGUUGGGAGGAAGGGCAGUAAGUUAAUACCUUGCUGUUUUGACGUUACCAACAGAAUAAGCACCGGCUAACUUCGUG